AGGCCAUGCUAGGCUGACCAUGGGAGGAGACAGAGAUGCAUUUGCACUUGUUCAUUUUUUGGGCCAAGAAGAACAAGCCUAAUACCUCUUCUAUAUGACCAUCCUUCAAAUAAUCGAAGAUAACCAUCAUGUCCCCUCCCCUUGAAUCUUCUUUUCUCAAGGUUAAACAACCCAAUUAUUUUGGCUUCUCAUAUGACAUCCAUCCUAAGCCCUAAGGAUCAUAUGUCUACAAACUGAGACAACUUUUGCCAUUUUCUAGUCCUGUGGCCCUUGUUCUUCACAACUCUUCAAAGAUCACUAACAAUGGCACAGCAGUCACUUCUUUAAGUUCUUUUAUUACCCUGGGAUUCAUAGAGGCUUGUGGACUUGAAGUCAUAAAAAUCAGGCCAAUGUUCAUUCUUAGAAUGCAAAAUGAAUGUCUAACAGUUCUGUCUUCUCUCUGUCCUCUGGUAUCUAAAGCAGUGCUCCCAUCCUCUUUCAUACUGAGAUUUUCCCCAAUAUAAUUGGAAAAAACUCAAAACCUCAUGUUGUCUUUAGUUUUCAUCACAAUCCUGUGUUCACUCCAAGGUUUAGAGCUCCUGACACCAUUCUUAUAGGGCUAUGCUGCUUUUUUUUGUAUUCAUUCAGUCCUUCCUCAUUUUCAUCUCCUGUAUCUAUCUUCUUUUCUGUACCUGUUUUUCAAAAGUUCAAGGUGAUUGAUGAGUACCCUGUGCAUCCACAUUCUUUGAUUUAGACAACUCCCUUUUAUUAUCUCCUCAAUAGAAUAUUCUUUAUAUCUUUAGAAUCCCUUUCUUGGAUGCUUUUCAACCUUCAUGAUCUGCUUUCCUCUGUAGAAUUUUGAUAAAAAUACUUCUACAAAGUAUUUUAAUAUUGAUCCAGUGGAUUCUAUCUAUCCUUUCUCUUAACUGUAUAGGUUAUAAUAGCAAUUGCCAUUUAUGUAAUGUUUUAAGUUUUACAAAGUAUUUUAAUAUACACGAUUGAAUCUUACAACUCUAUGGGGUAAGUGCUGUGGUUAUUAUUAUCCUACUAUAUAGAGUUGAGGAAACUGAGGCAAAAAGAGGUUAUGCACUUGUCCUAGGAGCACAUGGAUAGAAAGUUCCUGAGUUGGGAUUUGACCGUAGGCAUAGCACCUUUUCCACUAUGCUGGGUGUCUUCUGAGAAUCUUAGAAUAGGAAUUAUCUUGGAGAUCAUCUAAUGUCACUUUCUCAUUUUACUGGUAAGGACACUGAAUUCCAGGGCAAGCAAUUUGCUCAAGGUUAGUAAAUGUCAGGACAAGAAUUUGGAUCCAUGUUUCAAAUAAGACCAGAAUUCUUUCCACUAUACCACAGUGUCAUUGGUGGUGACAUGGAGGUAGGAAAAGAAUAGAGAUAAAGACAUUAGUAGAGAUGCAAAUAAUAAUAAUCCAAUCAUUAAUAGGCUAUAGGAUACAUAAAGUAUUGGACUUGGAGUCAGAAAGAUCUGAGUUCAAAUCUGAUCCCAGACACUUAAUAGCUAUGCAAUCCU
ensembl:lncRNA